rnacentral:rRNA from 1 species
GUGGGGAAUUUUGGACAAUGGGCGCAAGCCUGAUCCAGCCAUGCCGCGUGUCUGAAGAAGGCCUUCGGGUUGUAAAGGACUUUUGUCAGGGAAGAAAAGGGCGGGGUUAAUACCCCUGUCUGAUGACGGUACCUGAAGAAUAAGCACCGGCUAACUACGUGCCAGCAGCCGCGGUAAUACGUAGGGUGCGAGCGUUAAUCGGAAUUACUGGGCGUAAAGCGGGCGCAGACGGUUACUUAAGCAGGAUGUGAAAUCCCCGGGCUCAACCUGGGAACUGCGUUCUGAACUGGGUGACUAGAGUGUGUCAGAGGGAGGUAGAAUUCCACGUGUAGCAGUGAAAUGCGUAGAGAUGUGGAGGAAUACCGAUGGCGAAGGCAGCCUCCUGGGAUAACACUGACGUUCAUGCCCGAAAGCGUGGGUAGCAAACAGGAUUAGAUACCCUGGUAGUCCACGCCCUAAACGAUGUCGAUUAGCUGUUGGGCAGCAUGACUGCUUAGUAGCGAAGCUAACGCGUGAAAUCGACCGCCUGGGGAGUACGGUCGCAAGAUUA